rnacentral:rRNA from 1 species
AGUGGGGAAUAUUGGACAAUGGGCGCAAGCCUGAUCCAGCCAUGCCGCGUGAGUGAUGAAGGCCCUAGGGUUGUAAAGCUCUUUCACCGGUGAAGAUAAUGACGGUAACCGGAGAAGAAGCCCCGGCUAACUUCGUGCCAGCAGCCGCGGUAAUACGAAGGGGGCUAGCGUUGUUCGGAAUUACUGGGCGUAAAGCGCACGUAGGCGGACAUUUAAGUCAGGGGUGAAAUCCCGGGGCUCAACCCCGGAACUGCCUUUGAUACUGGGUGUCUGGAGUAUGGAAGAGGUGAGUGGAAUUCCGAGUGUAGAGGUGAAAUUCGUAGAUAUUCGGAGGAACACCAGUGGCGAAGGCGGCUCACUGGUCCAUUACUGACGCUGAGGUGCGAAAGCGUGGGGAGCAAA